ACUUUAUUUUGUAUAUAAUUUUUUUAUAAACACGUAGAGCUUGAGUAACAAUGUGAAAAACGGGAUUUUUUGAUCGCGAGUUCGAAUGCCAACUUCCCGAUUUCGCUCUCGAGCCAACAUUUGGAAUGUUUUGGACUUGCUGUCUGUAGAAGCUGCUCGCUUGGCUUGAUCUCGCACUGUAGUCUUUUUCUUCAUAAGGCCCCACUACAAAUCUGAACAAAAUUUAAAGUGUUAUCUCAAUAAUUAGAUAACGAACCUUAAGACUCCAAACAUGCUGUCAGCCUUCCCCACUGAGUCUUUAUGGUAACCCCCCUUGUAAUACAUAAGUAAAAUUGCCAUGCCAAUGGCAAAAAUGGCCGUGUCGCCAUAUUUGAUAUUUCGGACCAUUUUGCGUGAUAAAGCCAUGUUCCAGAGGGUUUCUGUUGCGACAUUGCUGACGUAUAGACAUAACAGAGUGCGGCGGGAAGGCCUUUCGAUUAGAACUGAGAAUACGCUAGAUAAGAAUGCUGGGAUUGCCGACACGGUCAGGAUGUUAAAGUUGCCCAAAAGUCGUCUAAAAUGCUAUGUUUCUUUUAAGUUUUUUGGUGGUUUUUGCGUACCUUAAAACACAUAAAAAUAGAGAGUAACCAAAUGCAGUACCGCUGAGAAAAGCGGUCGAUUGUAAGAUUCCUAAAACUGUUUUCUUCAAAUCUUCUUUGGUCGGAAUUCGACCUUUCAUCAACAGGGUCAACUGUAACAAAAUUACCAAAUUUUGGAUUUGACUAUUGUCAUUAGCACUCAUUUAGAUAACCAGAUUUUUUGAAAAAUUGUUACACCAACCGGAACUGAUAACGAAAGUAAACAAAAAAGAUACGAGCGGAAAUCUUGUUCAAAAAUUAAAUGUUUAUAAUUAAAAUUAUUCAAACACCUUCACUCACCACGUAGACACAGAAAUAAAUUUUGAAGGAAGGUAACGCAACCACUUUAGCUAAUUUCAAUGGACAAGGAGCACACUUAUUUUCCCAAUAAUGAAGUUCUUUGCAAUCCACAAAUAGCGGUCGGAAUUUACUAAAAGCAACCAUUUUUCAGCAAAAAGUUAUGUAAAACUUUACUCAAGUGGAUUGCAAAAUCCACUUUUUUAUAUUUACAUCCAACGCUAUUUCAAAAACAAUAGGACCAUUGAUACCUUCAUUUAUUUAUUUUAUGUUAAUGGGCUUUCUCUCUUUGUUGAUAAAUUAUAAAUUACUUUACUAAACCUAACAAUAGAAAAUGCGUAACAUCUAAGGAAAACCAUGUAGUAGGUGUUUCGAAUUUCUCUGGAUAUUUGACAGCCAAAUUUUUGGAUAUCCCUAAUUAAUGAAUUAUUGAUUUAUCAUAAAAGUAUAAAUAAAUCAAUCACCCAAAACCAGAACUUUUGUUUUUCGUUCACUUAAUCCAAAAUUUCUAAAAUUUGUUUAAAAUUCUUUCGUUAUUCAUUCAAGAUAGAAAAAUAAGACGAUAGUCACGAAUAACUUACCUACCUAGUUAGAUAAAAAUUUCACCAACUUAAAAAUAGUUCAAUAGCAAUGCGUAACCUCUACUAAAUCACUUGUGUUGUUACUUUUUAAACCCCAUCAACAUUUAUUAACCAGUGACAUCAUUUACUACAACAUAAAGCUUCUUCUUUUACAACGGAAAAAUGUUAGUGUUUGUUAAUGUGCAACCAGUUAAAUAACAAAUUAAACAAAGCAGAAAUGACUUUAAAAAUAUUAAAUUUUCUUGUUAAAUCAUCGUCUUUUCUCUUGGUAAGUAGCUUGUCUGUGACAUAUUUAUUACCAAUUUAUAAGUAUAAAUUAUUAUACUUACCAAGUAGACACCAAUAUACAUUUUAAAUGAACCUAUCACACUAUUUAAUCCAGUUUCUGUAUGAAAAAUAACACAAACAUCUUGCCAAUUGUGUAUAUCGCGACAAUCUAUCGUUAAGGCUUGAAACUUGCUCAAAACUUGCACCAUUUUCGCGUUAGUGAUUAUCACAGACCAAAUUUAACUACAAGUGGUUACCUAUUUGUGCUUAUCAAAUUAUUAUUUGUUGACAUUUACACCCGACGCUAUUGGUGGGACAAUUUUUCUAAAUACACAACCGAACGUAAGGAGAGAUAGUAGUGAUAGCAGUUCUUUCUGCGAGUCACUUGGUGACUUGUACUUAGAACGAAGUAAUUAUAAAAAUUUAUUAUUAUCGGCUAAUUCCUGUCCAUUUAGUAGCAAUAAACAGAUUAUUAGGUGCCAUACGAAAAACUUUAGAUAUUCUCAAUCGGACCUACCAAUGAGAUAACACGUCAAAAAACUUGAAACUGCAGCUAAUUUGAUUGUAGUUACUAUACAGAGUGGAUCGGUAAACGAUGUCGAUUAAUUAAUACAAAACUAUGCCCAAUAACAAUUUCAUGAUAUCAUGAACAUACAUAAUUAUUUAAUUAUUCAACGACCUUUGUCAGUCACCAUGAAUGUAAAAUGAAAAAACUAAAAAACUAUACAAUACAUUACAAAUUAUACUUGUAAGUACAAAACUUA